GGUUAAGUUAGAAAGGGCGCACGGUGGAUGCCUUGACACUAGGAGUCGAUGAAGGACGGGACUAACGCCGAUAUGCUUCGGGGAGCUGUAAGUAAGCUUUGAUCCGAAGAUUUCCGAAUGGGGAAACCCACUAUACGUAAUGGUAUGGUAUCCUUACCUGAAUACAUAGGGUAUGGAAGACAGACCCAGGGAACUGAAACAUCUAAGUACCUGGAGGAAGAGAAAGCAAAUGCGAUUUCCUGAGUAGCGGCGAGCGAAACGGAACAUAGCCCAAACCAAGAGGCUUGCCUCUUGGGGUUGUAGGACAUUCUAUACGGAGUUACAAAGGAACGAGGUAGACGAAGCGACCUGGAAAGGUCCGUCGUAGAGGGUAACAACCCCGUAGUCGAAACUUCGUUCUCUCUUGAAUGUAUCCUGAGUACGGCGGAACACGUGAAAUUCCGUCGGAAUCUGGGAGGACCAUCUCCCAAGGCUAAAUACUCCCUAGUGAUCGAUAGUGAACCAGUACCGUGAGGGAAAGGUGAAAAGCACCCCGGAAGGGGAGUGAAAGAGAUCCUGAAACCGUGUGCCUACAAAUAGUCAGAGCCCGUUAAUGGGUGAUGGCGUGCCUUUUGUAGAAUGAACCGGCGAGUUACGAUCCCGUGC
rnacentral:rRNA from 2 species